rnacentral:lncRNA from 12 species
UGGAAAACAAGUUGGAGCAUCUCUUCCCUCCAGACUUUGCCUUUGUUCCAAGGCUUCACUGCAGAUAAAAGAAUGGGAAAACAGAUCUAAGUGCUGGAACCCAGUGGCUCUGCCUUCAGGUGGCUGUUUGGGGUGACCCCUGUGCUGUGUUCUGACCUCCUGCAAGCAGCUGCUGGAAGAAUCACAACCAUUCCCUGAGCUCACAGCUGCAGACUGGAGUAAUUUGCUGAUGCUGCACAAGGAAUUGUCUCUCCUGGAGACCUGGCUGGUGUGAUCAGAACUCACAUAUGGUAUCAGAACAAAGGGCCCUUCAG